UCAUGCAUAUUUCUGCAUAGCAGUCAUCCGGGGGCUCCACAAGGAAGCAGCUGGGAAGCCGGGGCCACGGUGCUCUUGUGUGGCCGGGGCAGGAUGGCGAGCGGGGAAGCUGCAAUCCGGAGCUGUGCUGCAAGGAGCCUCUGCAACCCUAAAUUUGGCAGCCAAGGAACCCUGCCAGGGAUAGACAAGAAGCUUGGAGGGCUAUCGAACAAAAGCCUGAGCGCAGAUGUACCACAAUCACCACUAGAGGUGCUGCCAAUGGCAGAACAGAGCUCACCAGGAAGAACUGUCAGCCAAAUGUCCAGCUGCACCCUACCUGCAAUGCAGCCCCAUUUCAGCUGUCUGUGAAGCCCCUUGUUCCUUGCCCUGAGCAACACAGUGGUGCAACAGACUGCUAGCAAGUGGCCACAUUCCUUUGCAGAGGUUUAGCUAUGCAUUCAUCAGUUUUACUUCUGGUCUCCAAGCAAGCCCAUCUACAGUCACCAUCACCCUCUUAUAUCUUCUGCUCCUACCAAAGAAGUCUUAACUUUUAUUUCUGGAUAACAAUGGAGAUGGGGGAAGAAACAAAUUAAUAGAUAGCAAUAAUAAUUUUAAACCCUCCCUUCACUUCAGGCUCUGGUAUACAGAAACAGAAGGACAAUAAACACAGAGCUGCCGAGCACAAGAGUCUGCUUGUUUCUCUGGGGAAGAAAAAACCAUCAAAAACAUGUGCAUUCGCCAUGGAAGAAAGACUGCCUUUCUGGUUGUGUGUGAACUCACAUGACAGAUACAAGUUGACAUAACACUGCAGUUAUUUAUCACGCAGAUGUUUAAAGAUAACUCUUAAUAAAAAAUGAUAAUCACACACAGUGACACAAAUCCACCAGACCAUGAAAGCUAAUAUUUACUCAAUACUAAAUACCUAGUGGUCAUGCAAGCCUCUAAGGAACCAAGUCUGGUUAUUACUUUACUACUAGGAAAGCCAGUGCUUCAGAGAAAAUAGAUUAUUUGGAUUUUCUUUUAAUGCAUUUGUUAUUAUUAUUUUCACCAAAGCUAUUCAGCCUUUAUGUUUUCCAUCAAAUAGUCACGGCACACAAGCUUUCCAUUUUCAGAAAUACUGCAAUGUCAGCACUUCGUGUGCCAGUAAAAUGGAUUUUCACCUCUGUAUUUAGUUUUGGUUGGUUUGUUUUAAAAGAAACUGGAAAGAGAAAAUGACUGAAGAACAACGAAGACCUUGAGCCCAGUCCUGCCAGAGCACUGGGAUGCAACACAGGCACUCAAGGAAAGAAGGGUCCCUCUCUGCACCUUUUGUCAUGCUUACAGAUCACUUUUCCUGCCCCUCUGGCAUCUUCUGCCUCAGCUUUGUGAGGGAUGGCAUGAAGAGUCCUCCAUCUACUUUUAAUCUUUUUACUGAAGGAAUGCAUAAUGCCAUACCAUGGCCCUACAUAUGUGACAUAAUCUUUAAAAAAUGUUACCUAUUGUUAAUUGUGAUCUUUACAACUGAGAUAGGAAAACUGGCUCUGAGCAGUGCUUUUCUCUCUGGCCAGUUUCUGUAUGGGCACAGACACAUUUGCACUGUGCGGGGCUGCUUACGAAGUCCCAGCAUAGCUCGGGCACCUGGAAAAGCAUAAACAGGUUCUUUGCUCAAGCUAAUGUCUCCUUUCUUCCUUAUCUCUCAGCUUUGCUUUGUACAGCCUUGGCACAAUCUGAAUUUGAAGCAAUUGCAAUUUACUUGAUACUACAACAUCCAAGGCAAAAAUCCUUCAGACAGAUGAUUUGCUCAGUUCCACCCAUUAUGAAAGCAUAAAUGCUAUAAACAGCAGAAAGGAAGAAAGUUGCUUCGGGAUGCUGGGAAGUACAGUGUCAGUAAAUGCAACAUGCUGUAUGUGGAUAAAACCCAUUGAGUUUGUGAAUACAGAGUUACCUAUUAUUACUCAGGAAAGAGAUCUUAGAAUCAUAACAGUUCUCUGAAAGCAUCAGGCUGAAUGCUCAGGGAUGGUACAAGGGAAAAACAGUGUCAAGGAUGAUUACAAAAGGAACAGCAAACACCGUCUCUCUCCAUAUAAACUAAAGUUUUGCCCACAUCUUCAGUUCUACGCACAGUUCUAAAACAGAUUUGGAAGAAUUAGGAAAAGACAUGAAAAGGAAGAUAUAAAUAACAGAGGUACAAAACAGCUUCUCUACAAGAUGAGAUUAGCCAAAGGAUGACUUUUCAGCCUGCAAGAGAUGACUGUGGAGAAGAACAGGAUUAUGGUCAAAAAUCAUGAACAGCAUAGAGAGAGUGAAUAGGAACAACUGUUCUCAUGAUGUAAGAAAUAGGGGGCAUAAAAUGAAAUGAUCAAACAGCUAGUUUAAAACAAGAGGGUCCAGUUUUAUUUUUUUAUUAUCCACUACGUAAUUAAGUUGUGGAACUCAUUGCCACAGGAUGUUUUGAAAGCCAAAAGCAUAAAUGGAUUAAAAGAAAAGCUAUUAGAAAAAUUCAUGGAAGAAAGGUCCAUCAAGGGCUAUUAAGACACAGAUACAACCUCUGACUCAAGAAGUACCCAGAGAGCCGACUGCCAGAAGCUGGGAAGGGAUGCUGCUCUGCACUGACCGAGAGCAGAUGCUUUGGGAAAAGAGAGUGAAGGACCAAGCUAUGGUCAGAAUCAGGAUACUGGAUUAGACAGAUCUUUGCUCUGAUUCAGUAUAGCUGUUCUGAUGCUCUUCUAAAAUGAACUAAUUUGUCUUUGAGAAUCUGACGCUUAUUAAAACCCAAAUGUAAUUCCUUCCUUAUUGUGAGACAGAGUGACCAGAAAUUACCAGAAGUAGUAGAAACAGUGAUUAUUUAAAGUUACUAGCUGUACUUUUGGAUUGUCUUUAAUCUGAGAAUUUCUAUACGAUUCAAAAGUCACUUGGGUAAAUUUAUUGCUGCUUGAAAGUUUCAGUUUGUGACAAAAGCUUUACAAGACACUAUAGUAAUGCUUCUAUGUUUAAAUGUACAAGGAAAACAUCUGGUUAAAUGCACAAGAGCUACUGCUUGAGGGGGGGAAUAAAUGUAUAAAAACAA